UACGUAGGGUCCGAGCGUUAAUCGGAAUUACUGGGCGUAAAGCGUGCGCAGGCGGUUUUGUAAGCCAGAUGGGAAAUCCCCGGGCUCAACCUGGGAAUUGCAUUUGUGACUGCACGGCUAGAGUGUGUCAGAGGGGGGUAGAAUUCCACGUGUAGCAGUGAAAUGCGUAGAGAUGUGGAGGAAUACCGAUGGCGAAGGCAGCCCCCUGGGAUAACACUGACGCUCAUGCACGAAAGCGUGGGGAGCAAACAGG
rnacentral:rRNA from 1 species